AGGGAAAGCGGGCGGCAUGCCUUACACAUGCAAGUCGAACGGUAACGGGCCUUCGGGUGCCGACGAGUGGAGAACGGGUGCGUAAUACAUCGGAACGUGCCCGAUCGGGGGGGAUAACGAGGCGAAAGCUUUGCUAAUACCGCAUACGAUCUACGGAUGAAAGCAGGGGACCGCAAGGCCUUGCGCGGACGGAGCGGCCGAUGGCAGAUUAGGUAGUUGGUGGGAUAAAAGCUUAACAAGCCGACGAUCUGUAGCUGGUCUGAGAGGAUGAUCAGCCACACUGGGACUGAGACACGGCCCAGACUCCUACGGGAGGCAGCAGUGGGGAAUUUUGGACAAUGGGCGCAAGCCUGAUCCAGCCAUGCCGCGUGCAGGAUGAAGGCCUUCGGGUUGUAAACUGCUUUUGUACGGAACGAAAAGCCUUCUUUUAAUACAGGAGGGUCAUGACGGUACCGUAAGAAUAAGCACCGGCUACCUACGUG
rnacentral:rRNA from 1 species